rnacentral:rRNA from 1 species
AUGUGGCGGCGUGCCUAAUACAUGCAAGUCGAGCGAAUCUUUGGGAGCUUGCUCCCAUUGGUUAGCGGCGGACGGGUGAGUAACACGUGGGCAACCUGCCUGUAAGACUGGGAUAACUUCGGGAAACCGGAGCUAAUACCGGAUAAUCUUUUUCCUCUCAUGAGGAAAAACUGAAAGACGGUUUCGGCUGUCACUUACAGAUGGGCCCGCGGCGCAUUAGCUAGUUGGUGAGGUAACGGCUCACCAAGGCGACGAUGCGUAGCCGACCUGAGAGGGUGAUCGGCCACACUGGGACUGAGACACGGCCCAGACUCCUACGGGAGGCAGCAGUAGGGAAUCUUCCACAAUGGACGAAAGUCUGAUGGAGCAACGCCGCGUGAGCGAUGAAGGCCUUCGGGUAUCGGAGUAACUGCCGGUACCUUGACGGUACCUAACCAGAAAGCCACGGCUAACUACGUGCCAGCAGCCGCGGUAAUACGUAGGUGGCAAGCGUUGUCCGGAAUUAUUGGGCGUAAAGCGCGCGCAGGCGGUCCUUUAAGUCUGAUGUGAAAGCCCACGGCUCAACCGUGGAGGGUCAUUGGAAACUGGGGGACUUGAGUGCAGAAGAGGAAAGCGGAAUUCCACGUGUAGCGGUGAAAUGCGUAGAGAUGUGGAGGAACACCAGUGGCGAAGGCGGCUUUCUGGUCUGUAACUGACGCUGAGGCGCGAAAGCGUGGGGAGCAAACGGAUUAGAUACCCUGGUAGUCCACGCCGUAAACGAUGAGUGCUAAGUGUUAGGGGGUUUCCGCCCCUUAGUGCUGCAGCUAACGCAUUAAGCACUCCGCCUGGGGAGUACGGCCGCAAGGCUGAAACUCAAAGGAAUUGACGGGGGCCCGCACAAGCGGUGGAGCAUGUGGUUUAAUUCGAAGCAACGCGAAGAACCUUACCAGGUCUUGACAUCCUCUGACACUCCUAGAGAUAGGACGUUCCCCUUCGGGGGACAGAGUGACAGGUGGUGCAUGGUUGUCGUCAGCUCGUGUCGUGAGAUGUUGGGUUAAGUCCCGCAACGAGCGCAACCCUUGAUCUUAGUUGCCAGCAUUCAGUUGGGCACUCUAAGGUGACUGCCGGUGACAAACCGGAGGAAGGUGGGGAUGACGUCAAAUCAUCAUGCCCCUUAUGACCUGGGCUACACACGUGCUACAAUGGAUGGUACAAAGGGCUGCAAGACCGCGAGGUUUAGCCAAUCCCAUAAAACCAUUCUCAGUUCGGAUUGUAGGCUGCAACUCGCCUACAUGAAGCCGGAAUCGUAGUAUCGCGGAUCAGCAUGCCGCGGUGAAUACGUUCCCGGGCCUUGUACACACCGCCCGUCACACCACGAGAGUUUGUAACACCCGAAGUCGGUGGGGUAACCGUAAGGAGCCAGCCGC